rnacentral:ribozyme from 1 species
UGUCCAGUAACUCCUAUCCCUACCUCCCCGUGGUGCGAACGAAUAACCGUAGGGAAGAUCGGGUGGUGGGACCUUGGUCGUAUGCUGACAGGGAAGG